GACUGCGUACCUUUUGUAUAAUGGGUCAGCGACUUAUAUUCUGUAGCAAGGUUAACCGAAUAGGGGAGCCGAAGGGAAACCGAGUCUUAACUGGGCGUUAAGUUGCAGGGUAUAGACCCGAAACCCGGUGAUCUAGCCAUGGGCAGGUUGAAGGUUGGGUAACACUAACUGGAGGACCGAACCGACUAAUGUUGAAAAAUUAGCGGAUGACUUGUGGCUGGGGGUGAAAGGCCAAUCAAACCGGGAGAUAGCUGGUUCUCCCCGAAAGCUAUUUAGGUAGCGCCUCGUGAAUUCAUCUCCGGGGGUAGAGCACUGUUUCGGCAAGGGGGUCAUCCCGACUUACCAACCCGAUGCAAACUGCGAAUACCGGAGAAUGUUAUCACGGGAGACACACGGCGGGUGCUAACGUCCGUCGUGAAGAGGGAAACAACCCAGACCGCCAGCUAAGGUCCCAAAGUCAUGGUUAAGUGGGAAACGAUGUGGGAAGGCCCAGACAGCCAGGAUGUUGGCUUAGAAGCAGCCAUCAUUUAAAGAAAGCGUAAUAGCUCACUGGUCGAGUCGGCCUGCGCGGAAGAUGUAACGGGGCUAAACCAUGCACCGAAGCUGCGGCAGCGACACUAUGUGUUGUUGGGUAGGGGAGCGUUCUGUAAGCCUGUGAAGGUGUACUGUGAGGUAUGCUGGAGGUAUCAGAAGUGCGAAUGCUGACAUAAGUAACGAUAAAGCGGGUGAAAAGCCCGCUCGCCGGAAGACCAAGGGUUCCUGUCCAACGUUAAUCGGGGCAGGGUGAGUCGACCCCUAAGGCGAGGCCGAAAGGCGUAGUCGAUGGGAAACAGGUUAAUAUUCCUGUACUUGGUGUUACUGCGAAGGGGGGACGGAGAAGGCUAUGUUGGCCGGGCGACGGUUGUCCCGGUUUAAGCGUGUAGGCUGGUUUUCCAGGCAAAUCCGGAAAAUCAAGGCUGAGGCGUGAUGACGAGGCACUACGGUGCUGAAGCAACAAAUGCCCUGCUUCCAGGAAAAGCCUCUAAGCAUCAGGUAACAUCAAAUCGUACCCCAAACCGACACAGGUGGUCAGGUAGAGAAUACCAAGGCGCUUGAGAGAACUCGGGUGAAGGAACUAGGCAAAAUGGUGCCGUAACUUCGGGAGAAGGCACGCUGAUAUGUAGGUGAAGUCCCUCGCGGAUGGAGCUGAAAUCAGUCGAAGAUACCAGCUGGCUGCAACUGUUUAUUAAAAACACAGCACUGUGCAAACACGAAAGUGGACGU
rnacentral:rRNA from 1 species